UACGUAGGUGGCAAGCGUUGUCCGGAUUUACUGGGCGUAAAGGGUGUGUAGGCGGUCGUGCAAGUCUGGUGUGAAAUCUUCACCACUUAACGGGAAGAGGUCACUGGAAACUGCGCGACUUGAGUUUGGUAGAGGCGAGCGGAAUUCCUGGUGUAGCGGUGGAAUGUGUAGAUAUCAGGAAGAACACCGGUGGCGAAGGCGGCUCGCUGGGCCAAUACUGACGCUGAGACACGAAAGCGUGGGGAGCAAACGGG
rnacentral:rRNA from 1 species